UCCCAGAUUCACAGGCUCUCCACAUGGACAGAUAUGAAAAUGCUCCUAUGAUAAUGGUACAAGAUGCACAAAUGAAAUACAGAGGGAUGCAGUUUUGUUUUAUACUGCUUUCAUUAAGAACCCAAUUGCACGGCAAAAUCAGUUAGUAUAUAUCUCGUUCCAUGUGACAGCCAAUUUUCCACGGAGAUUGGAAACUCUUGGAGCCUUCUAAUCCUUGAUCUCACUUCGGGAAUACAAGAGCUGGGAGUUAUAGCAUGUUUUUAAAUUGUUUAAAGUAAAGCUUUGCUGUUAACAAGCACUCAUCCCUGGCUCCUGGACAAUGGAACUUCUGUGGAUGGAUGGUGCAUUGCCUUGACUCCAGAUCUGCUUUGAUGAUGAAAUACAUCUGAGACAUACUUAUUGGUCCAACAUAGCACAACAAAACAAAACCCAUUGUCCUUGCCCUCAUGGAACUCACUGAAACUUAAAUGAGAACUUCCAGCCAUAAUCUUCCUGGCCUUGGCAGAGCAAAGGAGGUGUACCUGUGAGGGUACCAACAGGACACAAGUGCCGUGAUCUAAAAGGUCCACUUUGGCCAACAGCUAAGAGUUUCCUCAGGACUCCGAAAUCAGUGGUUACUGACAUCUCUUCACCAACUAAGCAGUCAACCUUGAUUGAAAUUAACACCAUUUAAAGAUAAAAACCUGAUAUGCCUAUCUUAGGAGAAAGUUGUUAUAUGCAUUUGUUUCUGGAUUGGAUUUGCCCCUGCUGUUUUAAAGUGUUCUCAAAUGUUCUGCUCAUGACCCUUCUCAUCAAAGAUGUGGUUUAAGAACAUAAAUCAAUGAGGUUGUGUGAUAUGGAGAACUGCCUCUGGUAACCACAAACAUGUU
rnacentral:lncRNA from 1 species